rnacentral:rRNA from 1 species
GAAUAUUGGACAAUGGGCGAAAGCCUGAUCCAGCCAUGCCGCGUGUGUGAAGAAGGUCUUCGGAUUGUAAAGCACUCGAAGCUGGGAGGAAGGGCAGUAAGCGAAUACCUUGCUGUUUUGACGUUACCGACAGACUAAGCCCCGGCUAACCCUGUUCCUGCAGCCGCGGUAAUACAGAUGGUGCAAGCGUUAAUCGGAAUUACUGGGGGUAAAGCGCGCGUAGGUGGUUCGUUAAGUUGGAUGUGAAAUCCCCGGGCUCAACCUGGGAACUGCAUCCAAAACUGGCGAGCUAGAGUAGGGCGGAGGGUGGUGGAAUUUCCUGUGUAGCGGUGAAAUGCGUAGAUAUAGGAAGGAACACCAGUGGCGAAGGCGACCACCUGGGCUCAUACUGACACUGAGGUGCGAAAGCGUGGGGAGCAAACAG